GCCCUCAGAUAGCUAGGAAGAUUGUUUUAAACCCUCACCCUACUCGUGAUGAUGAUUUUCUUGUUGUCGAUGAUCACAGGACAAAGUAUGGAUAUCAAGAACCGAUAAAUAACAUGUGCAAAGAAUUUAACCGUUUCUCACAGCUGUGGUUCCAGGGCAUGCCGCGUGAAUCAUUCAAAGCGACUGUAAAGAUGUUGAAGAUUCCAAUCAAAUUGAACGGUAAGACCAAGAUAUCAUGAUUUACACUGAUUUAAUCUUGAAAUUAUGCAAUUAUGAACCAAUGGUUCUCUCUCUAAUCCGUAUCGAUUAGUCUAAUCUGGUCUCACGACUUCUAAAUGUCUCAUCGACUUGUGCAAAACCGAGCCUAUCUAGUCGAUUGGCUCUCACUAAUCCGUUCUUUUCCAGGUGGCUCGUUGACGCAAAAAGCAUCUUCUUGGUCCUUAUUCAUUGGUCACACGAAUCAGAUCUACCUGCUGCUUUUAAACGUCAUGGUUUUUUUUGUGUUAUAUAAAUCUUGUCCUUUUUAUCUUGUAAUGUAAA